rnacentral:rRNA from 1 species
GGGACGAACGCUGGCGGCGUGCUUAACACAUGCAAGUCGAGCGGACAUCUUCGGAUGUUAGCGGCGAACGGGUGAGUAACACGUGGGCAACCUGCCCCUAGCUCUGGGAUAACUCCGGGAAACCGGGGCUAAUACUGGAUAUGACCGAUCCAUGCAUGUGGGUUGGUGGAAAGUUUUUCGGCUAGGGAUGGGCCCGCGGCCUAUCAGCUUGUUGGUGGGGUGAUGGCCUACCAAGGCGACGACGGGUA